rnacentral:lncRNA from 1 species
AGAGGCGGCUGGACUUCCCGUACAAGAAAAGGAUUCAUCUAGGCUUUCUUUACAAGAAAAUUACAUCAAUUCACGUCCAAAACCCUAGUCAAAUUCGGACUGGUUUUGUCCGAACUUUCCAAAACUGUUCGGUCUAAACUGACUGUACCUUGCGGGUCUUUUUUGUGGUGGUAACUGAUCUCGGAUGGAAAUGAGCCCAAAAGCAAUCUUGACCGUUUGGACGAUACGAAAAACUUUCGUGUUGAACGUUUUCCGAUUCGAGGACAUCUUCUGGGGAAAAACACUCACGCAUUACAUCAGACACUUGCCAAAACAUGUCUGGUCUCCCGCGUCAUAUUUCGCCUCUUGACAGGGCUGCAUUCAGAUAGCUCUAACUUUUGCAUACGAACUCGGAUUGAGAUGAUUUUUAUUUAAAAAUCGACCGUUUCGACGAGACGAAGACAAUCCGUGUAGAUAAUUUUUCCAUUUGAGGUCGUCUUGGGGGCUUAAUCAGUCAAACUGUACUCUGAAUAUGAGAUCUUAGUACUUUGAGCAUAGUUUCGGCCUUCGAGAUGAAAUCGGACUGUGAUGACCCAAACUUCAAAGAUGUUCAUAUCGACAAUACGGAACUCUUUCCUGAAGAUCACUUCUCCAUUUGAGGCCAUCUUAAAUAAGUUAUUGACCGUGCCAAAAUCUGGUGUCAACAAGAAGGAACUGGUUACCAGCUGCAUGAGCACACAGAUGAAAUGUAGAUGCAUUACUAAGCUGAAAGUAAUGAAUACACAUGCUUACUUCAUUAACAGGAUCAGCCGCUGAUAGUUAGUCAGUGACGCAAGUAAACCGAGGUCCG